rnacentral:rRNA from 1 species
UUUGAAGAAGGCCUUCNGNUUGUAAAGUACUUUCAGCGAGGAGGAAGGCGUUAAGGUUAAUAACCUUAGCGAUUGACGUUACUCGCAGAAGAAGCACCGGCUAACUCCGUGCCAGCAGCCGCGGUAAUACGGAGGGUGCAAGCGUUAAUCGGAAUUACUGGGCGUAAAGCGCACGCAGGCGGUCUGUUAAGUCAGAUGUGAAAUCCCCGGGCUCAACCUGGGAACUGCAUUUGAAACUGGCAGGCUUGAGUCUUCCUUNCUGGGGGUANAAUUCCAGGUGUNACGGUGAAAUGCGUAGAGAUCUGGAGGAAUACCGGUGGCGAAGGCCUGCCNCCUGGACAAANACUGACNCUCAGGUGCGAAGGCGNUGGCNACCAAACCNGAUUAANACCCCGGGUUNCNNCAGGGNUNUUUUNA